AUUACCUUUUUAUUUUAUUUCUCCACCGAUUUAUUUCAUAAUUCUUUCCUUGUCUCUUUUCCUUCCAAUUUUCGAGCUUAAAAAACUCACUUCCAACUCCCUCCAUUGGUCUCCUAUUUUUAUCUCUCAUCCGCCACCGUCUUUCUCGUCUCGAAUCCCAACCUUCUCCAUUUUCGAAUUCUCACUUCCUCUUUCAAACCCCAUAAAUUAGCUUUACUGCUGCUGGAAAUUUGUUUCUCCGUCUUCGUUCCCUCGUCUCGUCGUUUUAUACUCUCGGAAUAAGCUACUGCACGCAUUCAGAGGUGGUGAAAGAAGGUCAAGUGUGUGAUUUACAAAGGAUUUAGAGCGAGUGAGCGAUUGAGACGGAGAGAGAGAGAGAGAGAGAGGGAGAGAGAGUUGAAGAAGUGUAGUAAUUUGGUUGAUUUUGUGCUUGUGUGCGGCAUUCGUUGUUCUUGGUGUGGUGUCUGGAACUCUGUGAAAAAUGCCGCAUAGAACGACUUACUUCUUCCCCAGGCAAUUUCCGGAUCGCGGAUUUGACUCGGCGUCAACCUCCAAACACAUUUUGGAUCACGAGAAGAAAAUCAACAAAGACACUUUUAGUACCGAAAACGACGCGAAACCGACUCCGAGGCCUGCGCGCGACUUUAGCGUCACGAAGAGUUCCGCUGUAUCGGAUCUUUUCACGGGGGACAAGGCUCAAAGCAAUAAGAAACUGCCUGCUUUUUACGAUUGGUUGGUGGACAAGAAAGCAACGCGGUCGGCAACAGCUCACGUGAAAACUUGGCUUUCAAACUGUGAUGAGGACCGCGAGCUUUUGCUUCCGCCACCUACCUCGGAGCCGGAGCAUGAUACAGCGUCGGUUAAGGAUCGGAGUGUUGACCGCAACUUUGACCGGCAAGUUUCACUGCCUAGAGUAUCAAGCGGGAGUAGCUAUGCGGGGAGUUUGUUUUCAGGCACGGGAACGGGGACAGUGGAUGGAAACUUUUCCAGCGACGUCAAGGAUUCAUCGGCGUCAAAGAUAUUGUCCUCGCACACGGCGAGGCCGGAAGAGAUUGAGGUUGGAGAUGAUAAGGAAAGCAUAGCACAAAGAGCGAAAGAGAGUUAUUACCUGCAACUUGCUCUGGCGGCAACGCUUCGUUCCCAUGCUAAUCUCGCUGGCGAUCCUGUGCUUAUGGAGGAAGGCAGGGUGGAAAUUACGGACGCUGAAACUGUUUCUUAUCGACUCUGGGUAAGUGGUUGCCUGUCUUAUUCCGACAAAAUAUCAGAUGGUUUCUACAAUAUUCUGGGUAUGAACCCGUAUCUCUGGGUUAUGUGCAAUGGUUUUGAGGAAGGUAGACGGCUACCUCCUCUGAUGUCGCUUAGAACCAUUGAACCAAGUGAGACGUCAAUGGAGGUGAUUCUAGUUGAUAGACGUGGGGACUCUCGACUGAAAGAGCUUGAAGACAAAGCACAGGAACUAUAUUGUGCUUCAGAGAGCACCUUAGUGUUGGUGGAGAAACUAGGAAAGCUUGUUGCGAUCUACAUGGGGGGCACUUUUCCGGUGGAGCAAGGGGGGCUGCACCUCCAUUGGAAAGUGGUAAGCAAAAGAUUGAGGGAAUUUCAGAAAUGCAUCGUUCUUCCAAUUGGUAGUCUUUCUAUGGGACUAUGCAGGCACCGUGCAAUCCUUUUCAAGAAAUUGGCAGAUUAUAUAGGUUUGCCAUGUCGGAUAGCUAGAGGUUGCAAGUACUGUGUUGCAGAUCAUCGAUCCUCUUGCCUUGUCAAAAUUGAAGAUGACAAGAAAUCGUUGAGGGAAUAUGUAGUUGAUUUAGUGGGGGAACCGGGAAAUAUACAUGGUCCAGAUUCCUCAAUCAAUGGAGGAUUCCAAUCUUCAAUGCCUUCGCCGCUCCACAUUUCUCAUUUAAAAGAGUUUCAAGAACCUUACGUGGAAAGUUAUUUUAAUCAUCAAACUGUUGAGUCAAAGCAAAUCUGUGGUUUUCCUGAAAAUCCUCUACGUUCAGGCUUGGGAGAGUACCAGAUGAAAGGGGGAAGCACUUUACAUAGGAGUCCAGGUGCUGAAACUGAUAAAUUGGUUGAUCAAGCAUGUAUGGGUAUGAGAUCAACUCAGUUGUGUGUGGAGACAAAAGUGAGCAAGGAGUGUGUGCUUCAAAGUCAUAUAAUGCCAUCCGCAGGUGCUGAUACCUCCGAGGUGUUAAGUUCUGUUGGGGGGGUGUCUUUACGUGAAAACAAGGUUGUCGUUGAAGAAAUAUAUCAAGAAGAGGCAGUUAUUGCGGGGAUUUCACUGAAUGAAACUAGCAUUAAUCCGUCCAAAUUGAGCUUGUCAACUCAAACUGAUUCAAAGGAGGUUGAGGGUAGGUCUCAAAAUUUUUCAGCAUCAACAUAUCCGAAAUACCUGACACUUGAACCAUCACUUGCAAUGGAUUGGCUGGAAAUUUCAUGGGAUGAAUUACAUAUAAAGGAGCGUGUUGGGGCUGGCUCAUUUGGUACAGUGCACCGUGCUGAAUGGCAUGGAUCGGACGUUGCUGUCAAGGUUCUAACCAUGCAGGAUUUCCACGAUGAUCAGUUGAAAGAGUUUCUAAGAGAGGUUGCAAUAAUGAAGCGGGUGCGCCAUCCGAAUGUGGUACUCUUUAUGGGUGCAGUUACAAAGCGGCCUCAUCUUUCAAUAGUGACUGAAUAUCUGCCCAGGGGUAGUCUAUACCGCCUAAUCCACAGGCCAUCUUCUGGUGAAUUGAUGGAUCAAAGGAAACGAUUGCGCAUGGCGCUGGAUGUGGCAAAGGGAAUCAACUACCUACAUUGUCUCAAUCCUCCUAUAGUACACUGGGAUCUUAAAUCCCCCAACUUGUUGGUUGACAAGAAUUGGACGGUGAAGGUUUGUGAUUUUGGGUUGUCCAGAUUCAAAGCAAACACUUUCAUAUCAUCGAAAUCUGUUGCUGGAACGCCCGAGUGGAUGGCUCCAGAAUUCCUUCGUGGAGAGCCUUCAAAUGAAAAGUCUGAUGUCUACAGUUUUGGAGUGAUCCUCUGGGAACUAGUAACCAUGCAACAACCAUGGAGUGGGCUUGGCCCGGCUCAGGUCGUGGGAGCUGUUGCUUUCCAGAAUAGAAAGCUUUCUAUUCCAUCAAGUACUUCUCCGUUGUUGGCCUCCCUUAUUGAAUCAUGCUGGGCAGAUGAUCCUGUUCAGCGGCCAUCCUUCGCAAGCAUAGUCGAGUCCCUAAAGAAAUUGCUCAAAUCUCCACAGCAGUUGAUAGCCAUGGGUGGAACGUAAAAACACCUCCCAGAUGGUUAAAAAGCCAAUGUGGGAGAGCUAACCAAUUAUGCAGUAACUGCAAACCUUGCAGGAAAAGUGCUCUCUUCUCUCAAUUGAAAUUGUCUCUGCCAAGCAAUUUUUGUGAAAUGCACGUCAACUACGGCCUGGAGCUGCCUCCCCUUAUUCUGAAAGUGGAGCAAAGGUAAUGGCCUUGUUCAUAUAUUCAUUUGCUUUAGUGCCUUAUUUGUUGUGAACCUAGCGUCGAUUAUCUGCGGCACAAGUUUUCAUAUCUUUUGGUUUAUUUAAUCUCCAUUUUCGCAUCAUACUUGACUAAUGAUAUUACCUAUAAGAUUUUUUACCAUUUUGUGGGUGUGUCACAGUCUUGUCUUGAAUUAGGAAUGCAGAUUCUUUUUCCGAUCUGUGUGGAUGGACUUCAAACCAGAGUAUCUUACCCAUUCGAACAACAAUGUGUUACGACGUCAAGGUAUGUUAAACAUUGUACAUGCUUAGGCCCCACAACCACAAGAUCGUGUUUAAUGUUGUUCGUAAUCUCAAGGUCCAUAAUUCUGAUUGUAAGUAUAUGGUUUGUAUGUAUAUGUAUUCCUGGAACUUCGUAAAGUAUGGCCUUAGUAAACAAAUUCAUUUAUUUCCUCGUGUUUCUUUAUCAACAGGGUCCUCUUUCCAACUUAGGCUAUUUGAUUCUCAUUUAGUUGCAGCUCUUUUUAGCAUCCUGUGUUCAUUAUAGAUGUGCCUCACGUUUAAGUUGUGUGCUACAGAGUUCAGGGCUAUGAUUUAUAGUUAAAAUCACAUGCUCAUCCAUGAUUGAUUCUAGAGUUCAGGGCCAUGAUUUAGUCAAAAUCACAUGCUUUUCCAUGAUUGAUUCCAAGGUUUUUGAGUAGAGAAAUUCUUGAUUGCAUCAGGAAUCCCAUUUUGUUUAAAUUCGGUAUACGAUAAGAUUGAAUAAGCCCUUGUGGAAUAAAUAUUCAGCCGCCUGUAUUGGUAGCACUUUUAGAUGGCUGAUAAGUACUCUAAAUCAAGUGAGAUUAAGAUUUCUGUGUGUAUAUAUUAGUUUGUUAGUUGGAUUUAGGGUAUGUUUGGAAGUAUAAUGUUAAAAUCACUUUUGUCAU